AUUGAACGCUGGCGGCAGGCCUAACACAUGCAAGUCGAACGGUAACAGGAAGACGCUUGCUUCUUUGCUGACGAGUGGCGGACGGGUGAGUAAUGUCUGGGAAACUGCCUGAUGGAGGGGGAUAACUACUGGAAACGGUAGCUAAUACCGCAUAACGUCGCAAGACCAAGGAGGGGGACCUUCGGGCCUCUUGCCAUCGGAUGUGCCCAGAUGGGAUUAGCUAGUAGGUGGGGUAACGGCUCACCUAGGCGACGAUCCCUAGCUGGUCUGAGAGGAUGACCAGCCACACUGGAACUGAGACACGGUCCAGACUCCUACGGGAGGCAGCAGUGGGGAAUAUUGGACAAUGGGCGCAAGCCUGAUGCAGCCAUGCCGCGUGUGUGAAGAAGGCCUUCGGGUUGUAAAGUACUUUCAGCGGGGAGGAAGGGAGUAAAGUUAAUACCUUGGCUCAUUGACGUUACCCGCAGAAGAAGCACCGGCUAACUCCGUG
rnacentral:rRNA from 1 species